rnacentral:tRNA from 1 species
CUAGGCAGACGGGCUUCGAUCCCAUAAAAUUCUAAUUAACAGCUAGACGCCUAAACCAACUGGCUUCUGCCUA